CGACGGCACGGAGGCACGGAGCCGAGAGGCUCCGCCAGCGGAGCGUUCCACCUCGGUCGCCUAGACGGCUCGCGCAGGGCCAAUGGCGAGACCGACCCUUCCGUAU
rnacentral:ncRNA from 1 species